rnacentral:lncRNA from 1 species
GCUUCACCAGCAAGGAAGAACUCAGGCAGCCAGCUCUCCAGCUUGCCGGGAACUCUGCAAACUGCUCCAGUGUAUCACCUUGUCAAGAACAAUGCUUGCCCCCUCUACCUUUGGGAGCAUCGUUUGCUUGUUUCCCUAAGGUUACCUGUCACAGAGCAUACCUUCAUCUCAGAGGAGGCAAACCUACCAAGUGUACCCACCCAGAAUGCACAGUGUCUUUUUUUUCCACCCACAGUUCCUUUCCUCUGGAGGCCUAGGAAAAACCUCCUCUGCUGCUAUCUGAUGUUGACACCAGCUUCGUACACCAGGUUCUUCCAUUCCAAGGUAUUUUCAUCAUGUCAUCAGAGAUUCAGAGUUUGCACUGCUGGCAAGUGGCUUGCAGACAAAGGUGAGUAAAAUUCUGUUAUCUGGGUAUCCAUUACCAGUCUAUCCAUAAGCCAAGGAAUCUUUCCUUCAAGUGAUAUCUUGAAUUAUGAAGAACCAGCUGAGGAUGCUAGAAGCUACAGUAGAAACUGUUGAGACUAUGUAGCAGAAAGCAAAUCCAUGGACUGAAGCAGACAUUCAUGUGCCAGGGGUAUAGGUUAGUAUUACCACUAUUUUAAAUGGUGUGAAAAAUCGGGGGACUGAUUUUAUCAUACCCUCCCUCAGGCUGGUAUUCAGAUUGGAGGCAAGGCAAGAAUAGUGUCAGCUUUAAUACUUGCCAAGCUGGAUUUAAGACUGAAGCUGACCUUUCUGGUCUAAGAAGGCACCUCCUACUACAUACCUCCAGGUCUUAUUGUGGGGGUCUGAUGCAAGACAGCUGGGUCUGCAGAAUAGACCAAUAGAUUGGGUCCCCAAUCUAUAGCGUGGUGUGUCACAGAGCAUCCAAUACCCAUAGAUUGCAGGAAAGAAUCAAGAGAAAAAAAGCCUCUAGGCUGCCUCUAAAACAGUGAUAUCCAACCAGGUUGCAGGUUAAAAUUACUAGGAAGUCUUAAAACCCCUAAUGCCCAAGCAACAUCGGUCAUCUCAGAAUCUUGAGGUUGAACCAGGUACUAGUAUGUACUUGAAAGCUCCCAGGUAAUUCCAAUGUGCAGGUAGGGCUGAGAAACUGCCCUGGGGCUAGGCCUUAACCCAGGUGUGUUUACAAAAAGGAAAAUUGAAGCAGAAAAAGAGAAUGUGCACAGUUUUGAGUGCACAUUCUGAGGCAGGCCUCAGAGAUGGGGUCAAGAUCAGCAGAAACUUCUCCUGAGUGAGUCGCCUCAAUCAGGUAAGUCAUUCUUGCCAGAAGAGGAAAGUGAGGGGGAAGAGACAGGCCGGGGCCUCCUCUCCAGGAUUUUUGUCAGCAAAAGUGUGAGGAAACAAAGAGUAUGCCAGCCCCCCUAAAAACAGUCAUAACAGCUGCAUUGACUCAACUCCCACUGUACACCAGGAGCUGUUCCAUCUACUUUUGUACACUUAACUUUGGAACAAUCCUGUGAGGUAGGUCUAUUUAUCCCCAUUUUACCAAUGAGGAAAUGGAGGCUUGGAGAUGUUAAGUCACUUGCCAAGUUCAAGGAGUAACUGAGUCACAGUACUGGUUUGUCUGGCUACAGAGUCAUACACAGCUAGUUAUUCUUCUAAAGAACAGAGAAACAAAACUCCCAGAGAAACAAAACUCUGUGUGUGCUUGUGUGUGUGUGGAGGAUGAGGAUCUGUGUUUCAUUCAGGUUCUUCAAAUGCUGCAAUUCUUCUUUUAAAUACCCACACACGUACCCAUAAAAUACUGUCUUUCCAUUAGAUGAGGCAUACAAAGUUCAGGCAGAGUGGUCUACCUGGAUUAUUGGAGUGAUGUCCUGUGUAUAGAAAAGUCUGUGAUGUCAAAUGAUGGGCUAAGUCCUCCUAGUGCCAGGAAUUUACCCAAGCCCAUUAAUAUUAGUGGUUUUCCUUCUCCCUUUAGGGGCUGCAAAAGAAAUACUAUUUUAUAUACAUUUUCCCUGGGCUUCCUAGAGUGUGAAAGUCUUGGCAUUUAGUUAGAGAUUUCAUCAUCUGGGUCCCCUGCCAACUGCAGUGGAAUAGUUCAAACCUCCUGGCUAUGAAGGCUCCUUGUCAAGGACCUGUGUACAGUCUGUUUUGCCAAGGAGUAUGCUGUUUGCAAGUCAGCAAAAGGAAGGUUUCUGUAUUCCUCAAACAUCCUAGUAGAAAUAAAAUCUUUGUGAAGAAGACGCUAUACAGAUUGAUUUAAGCCACCUACUUGGCUUUCUCACAGAAGAAUUGGCAUGUUUAAUAAUAUCUUUGUCCCUACCCACGUCAUCCUAACGUAACUUGUGCAUUUGACAAGAUAGAAGGCAAAGAAAGAGCAAGAAGUAGAGGAUGCUGUGGCCCCAGAGUUUAGGGAAAGGAGCUUAGGACCACGAUGUCCACAGUUUUUUGGCACUUGCCCCAAGUUCUGAAAUCCAUAAAUAAUGCUGCAGUGAGAGGAUGUAAGCUUGAAUGUGAUUCAAGCUUGAGUUGAAGACCAGGGAGGCUUCCAUCAAAACUAUUUUUCUUUUGUCAGGAAUCCUUCAUAAUGCCCCAGUUUUGUGAUGCUAUUUUGGUGGAAUUAAAUUUCAAACAGUCCAGAAUUAUGGAAUUUGUUACAUUAUCCUUUGGUGACAAGGCCAGUCACUCUAGAGGCAAGCUUGUUAGGGACCCAAGAGGUAACCAGGGGAUCAGCAGGAAGCAGGUUAAGAACUCUCAGCCUCUUGGUUCACAGUUCUGAGCAUAAAGUGACUAAGCAGCAAGCCCCUCAGUUAGUCCUGGGUA